UUUUAUAACAUCUUUCACUAAAGAUAAUGUCAAAACAUUAACAUGUCAGUCCAUGUAUUCCUACCAGGGACUUUUAAAUGGCUACAAAGUAUACCAUCAUGGUGCUAUAAUGGAAGUCACUCAACCAGUUUAUUGUUGAAUAUUUAAAGGUUAUUUAAAAAUGUUUGUCAUUACAAACAAUACCAAUACAAAUGACCUUAUAAACGCAUCUUUGCCUAUAUCUGUUUCUUCCCUUAGGAUAAAUUGCUGAAAGCAGAAUAGGUGGGUAAUAUGAAUGUUUUUGCUAUUUACUGACAACGUGAAUUGUUUUUUUUUUUUUUUUCUGGAAUAAUUAUCAAUCAACCCGACUCCCUCUUCUAAAUCCUUGUUUCCCAGAAAUCUAAGAUCUAAAUGACAUGGACAUGUAUUUAUAUGUCUCUUCCCAGAGCCGUAGGCAUCUUCCCAGGGUUACUUAGAGGUAGUUUCUGGCAUGACUUUCCUACCUAAGUCCACCCUAUCCUGCUUAAUAGGAUUUCCAUGUGUCACACGUGCUCUGAAGUAUCAGUACGUGCGCCGAAGGAGACAAGGUUCUCUGUGAUUACUUUUCAACAUUGAAAAAAAAAAAGUGUAUAUGCCUCACAUUUAUUUAUCUGCUCCAUUUACCAGCACCCAGCCUCAUCCUGCCUCAAUGAACUUAAUGAGAUUAACAGAUGCUAUUUCUUUAAUCUUCAGCAGAGCCCUUUCAGCCUGUGUCAAGAAAUCUUGUUUCCUUGGUUUGCCAUCAAGUACCAGAAGACAAGAAGCUUCAACAACUGGAAUUCAUUGUCUUCCAGAUCUGGAGGCUACAAACCCAAGAUCAAGCUGUCAGCAGGGUUGAUUCCUUCUGAGGGCUGUGAGGAAGAAUCUGUUCCAUGCCUUUCUCCUGGCCCUGAUGGCAUCCUGGCAAGCUUUGGUGUUUCUUGGGAAGUAGAAGCAUCAUCCCCAAUCUCCAUCUUCAUCUUCUCAUGGCCUCCUUCUUCCAUGCAUGUCUGUCUUCAAAUUUCCCCCUUUCUAAGGAUACUAGUCAUAUUGGAUAGAGUCCAGCUUACUCCAGUAGGACCUCGUCUUAACUAAUUACAUCUGCAAAGACCCUAUUUCUAAAUAAGGUGACAUUCUUCGGUAUUAGGGUGUAGAAUUUCAACAUAUCAAUCUUGUUGGGGAUGGAGUUGGGGAGGAACCACAAUUCCAUUCGUAAAAUUUCUUCUUUUGAAUUUUUUUCACUGCCUGGUUUGUAUUUUGUUCAUGGAAUGUAUCGCAUUCCUUGUGGUUAUCUGUCUUGCCUCUCCUUCUAAAUUAUAAGGUCUUUGAAGACUGGUUUAUUCUUUAUAUAACCUGUAGCGUCAAGCACGGAGGAUGUGGUGUUACAUAGUUUUCACUCUAGCUACCUCUGGCACCCAGAGGUACCUCCAAGUGGCAAGAGGCAGAAUUUUAUUAAAAUGGAGGGAAAUCCAGACUUUUCUAGGUAA